rnacentral:pre_miRNA from 1 species
AAAAAUUUUUUUUGUAUGGAAUUCGAUCGUGUGCAUACGUUUGCCGCUAGGGGCGCUGUUCCAACUGCAUACAAAACAGGGUUA